GUCCCACCGGGAGGAGGCCCCGGGGCAGACCCAGGACACGCUGGAGAGAUUAUCUCUCGGCUGGCCUGGGAACGCCUUGGUGUUCCCCCGGAUAAGCCGGAGGAGGUGGCUGGGGAGAGGGAGGUUUGGGCCUCUCUGCUCAGGCUGCUGCCCCCGCGACCCGGCCUCGGAUAAAGCGGAUGAAGAUGGAUAGAUGGAUACUAAUAAUUAUCAAAUACUCAAACUUAAGACAGAUCAUUUCAAAAUCUAAAAAAAUCUUUUUCAGCUCACGAUAACCUAAUAAUCACAAUCUGGAUGACCACACAAGCUUGUAAAGUUUGUGCACUUUCAGUGAUUUAUUUUCAUCCUUUGACCUUUUUCUCCUAUAAACUUUUUUUUAAUGAUUGUUUUAAAAUCUAGAAUAUAAUAUUUAAACAAACUCCUUGUGGCCGCACCCUCACAGCCUGCACUUUGCAACCUACCAUUAUACUGUUAAUUAAUACUCGACUCAAGCUCAUUUAGCUUUACAUUACAAAGAAAAUAUAUCAAAAUAGUCUGAAAAUAUUAGAAGAAAAAUCAAUGAAAUGAGUCAUUGAUGGCAUGAUUCAAUUGUAGCUACCAUCACGCUGCUAAACAUGCAGCAUUUAAGCAGAAGUGGCCCAAUAACUGAGCCUUGGGGAACAACAUAUACUUACUCAGACAUACAGUUAUAAACACCCAGUGGUCACUAACAAUUUAAAUGAAUUAAUAGUUCUGUAUAAAUUCUGUAUAAUAGAAAUUAUACAGAAUUUUCCAGUAUUGUAUCUGUAGCAGCGGAGCAGCAGAAGCAGCAGUUUACAUUCUGUGUAAUUCAAAGACUGAACCUUCACACAUGAACACAGACCCUAGCUCCAAUCACCACCUGGCUGCUAAAGAAGAGGAAGAAGAGGAAGGGCAAAAGAAAAACAUGGUUGCAUAAAAAAUUAGCUCCAACACCCAAAACACCAAACCAACAACCACAGAGAAGACAGCCUGUUGAAAACAGAAAAGGAAAAGAAAAUCAUAGAGGUGCUUGGCCCUCACCUGAUCCUCAACACAAUCAGAGACAGGCAGGUAAACUUGAAAGGAAAGAGACCAGGACUGAUGAGAGCAAGCAUAGAGUGGCGAAGAGGGGUGGAGCCUGAUUGUAGUGAGACACCCCUCCCUUGAGAAUGGCUGGGACAUACCGCACAGUCAGAUACUGGUGUGGCAUCUGGAAACGGCUUGCAACGAGGUUUGGUGAGGAGGCUGCCCUGAUGGAGAGAUGACAUGAGGUGGGACUAGGCAGACACAGAGACACAGACAGAUGGAUGGAAAGGAAGACUGAAGAUGUGCUAAGAGAUCAAAUAAAACCAUUUCAGACUACAAAUAUCCACAUUACAUACACACUCUAGAACUGUGGACUUGGAUGUGUUUAUUGUUUUUAGUGUGACACUAACCAGCUAAACACUCAGCUAAUCUGACUAGCUGAUAGUCACAGUAAUAUGCAUCUUGGUUAGUAGGAAACUACUUGUGGAUAAUACGACUUCAGUAAAGCAUCAUAAGACUGAUAUAUCCAUCGAUCAGCCCCAACAUUAAAACCACCAUCCUGUGGUUAAGCUGCACAUCCUUCUGUUGGCCUCAGGAUCAGGUUAGUUCCCACAGAUGCACCGUCAGACUGGGAUAGGCGUGUUAGGAGGCCAGCUCAACGACCUGGGCUUGGACUUAUAAUAAUCACAUGAUAUGUGGUUCUAAUGUUGGGCUGAUCCAUAGCUGUUAGCAAACUUUACGCUUCAUUCAUUAAGUUGGUGUCACUUCACUAACAAGCUGCCUGC
ensembl:lncRNA